UACAGAGGUCCCAAGCGUUGUUCGGAUUCACUGGGCGUAAAGGGUGCGUAGGCGGCCGGGUAAGUCUGAUGUGAAAUCUCCAAGCUCAACUUGGAAAUGGCAUCGGAUACUAUCCGGCUGGAGGAAUGGAGGGGAGACUGGAAUUUUCGGUGUAGCAGUGAAAUGCGUAGAUAUCGAGAGGAACACCAGUGGCGAAGGCGAGUCUCUGGACAUUUCCUGACGCUGAGGCACGAAAGCCAGGGGAGCAAACGGG
rnacentral:rRNA from 1 species